GUGCCAGCAGCCGCGGUAAUACGUAGGGUGGCAAGCGUUGUCCGGAUUUACUGGGCGUAAAGGGAGCGUAGGUGGAUAUUUAAGUGGGAUGUGAAAUAACGUCGGGCCUUAACCUGGGUGCUGACAUUCCAAACUGGAUAUCUAGAGUGCAGGAGAGGAAAGUAGAAUUCCUAGUGUAAGCGGUGAAAUGCGUAGAAGAUUAGGAAGAAUACCAGUGGCGAAGGCGACUUUCUGGAACUGUAACUGACACUGAGGACUCGAAAGGCGUA
rnacentral:rRNA from 1 species